rnacentral:rRNA from 1 species
GUUAUAUGGUCAAGUGACUAAGCGUGCACGGUGGAUGCCUUGGCAUCUGGAGGCGAUGAAAGACGUAGUAGCCUGCGAUAAGCUUCGGGGAGGUGGCAAACAACCUUUGAUCCGGAGAUCUCUGAAUGGGGAAACCCACCUGUCAUAAGGCAGGUAUCGUAUACUGAAUACAUAGGUAUACGAGGCGAACGCGGAGAACUGAAACAUCUAAGUACCCGCAGGAAAAGAAAUCAACCGAGAUUCCCUUAGUAGUGGCGAGCGAACGGGGACCAGCCCUUAAGCUGUUUUGUAGUUAGUAGAACGCUCUGGAAAGUGCGACCGUAGUGGGUGAUAGUCCCGUAUACGAAAACUUAUAAGCAGUGAAAACGAGUAGGUCGGGACACGUGUUAUCCUGACUGAAUAUGGGGGGACCAUCCUCCAAGGCUAAAUACUCCCAGAUGACCGAUAGUGAACUAGUACCGUGAGGGAAAGGCGAAAAGAACCCCUGUGAGGGGAGUGAAAUAGAUCCUGAAACCGUGUACGUACAAGCAGUGGGAGCCGACUUAGUUCGGUGACUGCGUACCUUUUGUAUAAUGGGUCAGCGACUUAAUGUUAGUGGCAAGGUUAAGCGAAUAGCGGAGCCGUAGGGAAACCGAGUGUUAACUGCGCGUCCAGUCGCUAGCAUUAGACCCGAAACCGGGCGAUCUAUCCAUGAGCAGGUUGAAGGUUGAGUAACAUCAACUGGAGGACCGAACCCACUACCGUUGAAAAGUUAGGGGAUGACUUGUGGAUAGGAGUGAAAGGCUAAUCAAGCCCGGAGAUAGCUGGUUCUCCUCGAAAACUAUUUAGGUAGUGCCUCGUGUCUAACCAUGGGGGGUAGAGCACUGUUAAGGCUAGGGGGUCAUCUCGACUUACCAACCCUUUGCAAACUCCGAAUACCCAUGAGUUCAAUCACGGGAGACACACGGCGGGUGCUAACGUCCGUCGUGAAAAGGGAAACAACCCAGACCGUCAGCUAAGGUCCCAAAGUUACAGUUAAGUGGGAAACGAUGUGGGAAGGCUAAAACAGCUAGGAGGUUGGCUUAGAAGCAGCCACCCUUUAAAGAAAGCGUAAUAGCUCACUAGUCGAGUCGGCCUGCGCGGAAGAUAUAACGGGGCUCAAACUGUACACCGAAGCUACGGAUGCCAUUUAUGGCAUGGUAGAGGAGCGUUCUGUAAGCCGUCGAAGGUCAAGGUGUGAACCAGGCUGGAGGUAUCAGAAGUGCGAAUGCUGACAUGAGUAACGAUAAUGGGAGUGAAAAACUCCCACGCCGGAAACCCAAGGGUUCCUGUCCAACGUUAAUCGGGGCAGGGUUAGUCGGCCCCUAAGGCGAGGCUGAAAAGCGUAGUCGAUGGGAAGCAAGUUAAUAUUCUUGCACCUCUUUAUAAUGCGAUGGGGGGACGGAGAAGGCUAGGCCAGCACAGCGUUGGUUGUCUGUGUUUAAGGUGGUAGGCAGAGGACUUAGGCAAAUCCGGGUCCUUAAUGCCGAGAACUGAUGACGGUGACUCUACGGAGUCCGAAGUGGUCGAUGCCAUGCUUCCAGGAAAAGCCUCUAAGCUUCAGUUAUAAAGAGACCGUACCCCAAACCGACACAGG